UACGUAGGGUGCGAGCGUUGUCCGGAAUUAUUGGGCGUAAAGGGCUCGUAGGCGGUCUGUCGCGUCGGGAGUGAAAACUCAGGGCUUAACCCUGAGCCUGCUUCCGAUACGGGCAGACUAGAGGUAUGCAGGGGAGAACGGAAUUCCCGGUGUAGUGGUGAAAUGCGUAGAUAUCGGGAGGAACACCAGUGGCGAAGGCGACUACCUGGCCUGUUCUUGACGCUGAGGCGCGAAAGCUAGGGGAGCAAACGGG
rnacentral:rRNA from 1 species